CAUGUCCUUUAGAUUAUAAUAUAAGGUUUGGUCUGCUCAAUGAGGUUUUAAAUUGCCGCAGUAUUUUAACUGUGCGAAGGUAGCAUAAUAAUUAGUUUCUUAAUUGGAAGCUGGAAUGAAUGAUUGGACGAGAAAAUUACUGUCUCUUGAGAAGGGUUUAUUUAAUUUUAUUAUUAAGUUAAAAAGCUUAAAUUAGAAUAAAAGACGAGAAGACCCUAUAGAGUUUAAUAUUUAGGACUUAUUAAUUUUUAGUAAAUUUAUUAAGUUUUAAUUAUUUAGUUGGGGUGACUUAAAGAUUAAAUUAAUUCUUUAAAUAUUUAAUUACUGAUAAGUAAUUUUUAAAUCUAGUUUUUUAAAUUUAAAAUAAAUUACCUUAGGGAUAACAGCGUAAUUUUUCUUUAAAGCUCUUAUUGAAAGAAGAUUUUGCGACCUCGAUGUUGGAUUAAAAUUAAUUUUUGGUGCAGUCACUAAAAAAUUAAGUCUGUUCGACUUUUAAAAUUUUACAUGAUCUGAGUUUAAACCGGUGUAAGCCAGGUUGGAUUCUAUCUUUAUUAUUAUUAUAUGUUUUAGUACGAAAGGACCUGAUAUAUAUUAUAGAAUAAUUG
rnacentral:rRNA from 1 species